CUACUAGAAAGUAUCAAGUGGCGACCGGGACGUCGCCCGUUCUGCUCCGCCGCGGGUGAGCACCCCCAAAACCGGACGGAUCACGUGCAUGGAUCCAGGCCAGGAGAAAGGCAGUAGUCCUCCAUUUGCUGUUUUGACAAAUGUGCUGCGGACGGGUGGAUGAGGAAACAGAGUGGUACUGUGAAGCUCUUUUAGGGGUAAGACGGUUGUGUUUUGUGGGGACUUUAGGCAAGGCAAGUACUUCCUGUUGUUCGGAGGGGGUUGAGGGUUCAAAUCGUUGACGCUUCGCUACGGAGGUCGUAUCUGUGGGUUCCAUGCGGCAUCUUAGGUUGGUUCGCAACAUGAGGGCACAAAGUGACCCUUGGUUCGCAGAAUAUUUACUGCACAUUAGCGGUGGAACAGAGGAGGUUAAUUCCGACGGUGAGGUGAAACUACCGGAUGAGAUUUGCGUACCGUAUACUGGGAAGGCAAGUAAUCUUGAUACAUUAAUUAAUUGCAUAUUUCCAAAUAUCAAUGAGAGCAUGUUCAAGAAAGACUACAUCACAUUGAGAGCUAUAUUAUCUACCAGGAAUGAUUGGGUCGAUAAGAUUAAUAUGAAGAUGAUAGGCACUUUCCAAGGUGGUGAGAUGGAGUACCAUAGUUUUGAUGUUGCAAUAGAUGAUCCUUAUAAUUAUUAUCUAGCGGAGUUUCUUAGUACUCUGACCCCAAGCGGGCACCCCCCUCACGU